UGGUGCUAAAUAGGUAGAACACAUGGCUGUAUUAUUGUUAACAAAAAAAUACAUGGAUCUGAUUUUCUUCUAGAAUAGGUAAGUGUAUGUCUGUGUUAAAAACUCCUCUGGAUUUUCUAAGACAUGGAUGCCAUUAUUAUAGAAUGCUUAAUAUCAUUAUUAGCCUCUUUUUUUUUUAAAGCAGCAUUAUAAUUGGGUAGAUACCUACAGAUGAGGAAACAGCUGAGGUUUGUGGUUUGUUGCUCCAGCUGUAAAUUGAGCUAACAGUAGACAAUCUUGGGCCAGCAGUUUGGAAAUUCUAAUAAUGUUAAGCCAAAGCCUGUCUUUAUACACACGCAAGUCAAUGCUGUGCUGCCUGUGGAGCUGUAUGUGACUUCUAGCACAACCUUGCAGUAGUACCAGGGGAACAGAGGAGGGACAUUCUACGGUUUAAAAGUAUCAACUGGAUUAGCCCAUUCUCAUUACAAAUAUAGAACAAGUGCACAGAAGCAUCUGGAGGCUGAAAAUCAUGCGCAGAAUUGGUUCAUGAUUCAUUCUGACUUAGGCCCAUACUUCUUUUUAGAUGAUUAUGCAUACUGUACCUGUUAAUUGUUCCAUAAGACUACAUGAGUAUCAUAAGAACAUAUUGGUAUUUAGAUUUGUUGACCCUGCACAGCUCCUGCAGUGUAAGGGAACACAGCCAUUUUUAUAAGAAGUCUGCACUGUAUGAAAAAAACAAGCUUUAAACAUGAGAUGCAUAUUUCUUUUUCAGAUCAACAAGAAAGCAUAGAUUGGAACUUAGUGCUUGCUGUCAGAGCUAGCUGACAAAUUAAGGAAGAGAUUAUUCCUUGACAAAAACAAGAAAAAAGAUAGCAUGUCUUGAAUAGGAGAAAAGAAAAAUAGACAGGACCCAAUUCAAGUCAGGGAAAACAGAAGGAAAUGGAGAAACUAUUUAUAUUGGAAAUCAUGCUUUGCCUUUUUUUUUUUUUUUUUUUUUAAGCUAUAGACUGGUAGCCUUUCCAAAGUUGAAUGUGGGUUUUGUUGCUUCUGAAGAUUACUUUCCACUUGAAAAACAUGACCAAAUUUUGCCAAAAAGCUCACUUGUUUCUAGCUUAUGCGUUGGACAAGUAGUGGCAGCCUGUUAUAAAGACCCUGUUAUUAAAAAGUUACCUUCUAUGCUGAAGUUUGAGAAAAGGGAAACAAGGCAAACUGGGAAGACCAGCAUAAUAAAAUCCAAUUGAAGUAAAGAUAAUGUACAGUUGGUACUGUGAAAAGGAAGCUGUAGCCUGAGGCAAUGGAGUACUGAAAACAUGGAAGACUGCGAGAAAGCAA